CCUACGGGGGGCUGCAGUGGGGAAUAUUGGACAAUGGGGGCAACCCUGAUCCAGCCAUGCCGCGUGUGUGAAGAAGGCCCUCGGGUUGUAAAGCACUUUCAGUGAGGAAGAACGCCUGGUGGUUAAUACCCAUCAGGAAAGACAUCACUCACAGAAGAAGCACCGGCUAACUCCGUGCCAGCAGCCGCGGUAAUACGGAGGGUGCGAGCGUUAAUCGGAAUUACUGGGCGUAAAGCGCGCGUAGGUGGCUUGAUAAGCCGGUUGUGAAAGCCCCGGGCUCAACCUGGGAACGGCAUCCGGAACUGUCAAGCUAGAGUGCCGGAGAGGGAGGUAGAAUUCCCGGUGUAGCGGUGAAAUGCGUAGAGAUCGGGAGGAAUACCAGUGGCGAAGGCGGCCUUCUGGACUGACACUGACACUGAGGUGCGAAAGCGUGGGUAGCAAACAGGAUUAGAUACCCGUGUAGUC
rnacentral:rRNA from 1 species